rnacentral:rRNA from 1 species
UUCGUAGGCGGAUGAUUAAGUCAGAUGUGAAAUACCAGGGCUCAACCCUGGGGCUGCAUUUGAUACUGGUUAUCUAGAGUGCAGGAGAGGAGAGCGGUAUUCCUAGUGUAGCGGUGAAAUGCGUAGAGAUUAGGAAGAACACCAGUGGCGAAGGCGGCUCUCUGGACUGUAACUGACGCUGAGGAACGAAAGCGUGGGGAGCAAACA